rnacentral:rRNA from 1 species
CGUGAGCAACCUGCCCCGGACUCUGGGAUAAGCGCUGGAAACGGCGUCUAAUACUGGAUACGAGCUUCAGCCGCAUGGCUAGGAGCUGGAAAGAUUUUUUGGUCUGGGAUGGGCUCGCGGCCUAUCAGCUUGUUGGUGAGGUAAUGGCUCACCAAGGCGUCGACGGGUAGCCGGCCUGAGAGGGUGACCGGCCACACUGGGACUGAGACACGGCCCAGACUCCUACGGGAGGCAGCAGUGGGGAAUAUUGCACAAUGGGCGGAAGCCUGAUGCAGCAACGCCGCGUGAGGGAUGACGGCCUUCGGGUUGUAAACCUCUUUUAGCAAGGAAGAAGCGAAAGUGACGGUACUUGCAGAAAAAGCGCCGGCUAACUACGUGCCAGCAGCCGCGGUAAUACGUAGGGCGCAAGCGUUAUCCGGAAUUAUUGGGCGUAAAGAGCUCGUAGGCGGUUUGUCGCGUCUGCUGUGAAAACCCGAGGCUCAACC